AGUGAACGCUGGCGGUAGGCCUAACACAUGCAAGUCGAACGGCAGCACAGUAAGAGCUUGCUCUUACGGGUGAAGAGUUGCGGACGGGUGAGGAAUCCAUCGGUAUCUACUUUUUCGUGUUGGAUAACGUAGGGAUACUACCGCUAAUACCUCAUACGACCUACGGGUGAAAUCAGAAGCUCUUCGGACUUUGCGCGAUCUAGUGACUCGUUGUCGGAUUAGCUAGUUGGCGGGGUAACGGCUCUCCAAGGCGUAGAUCCGUAGCUGGUCUGAGAGGCUGAACAGCCACAGUGGAACUGAGACACGGUCCAGACUCCUACGGGAGGCAGCGGUGGGGAAUGUUGGACGAUGGGCGCAAGCCUGAUCCAGCCGUGCCGCGUGGAUGAAGAAGGGCUGCGGGUUGUAUGGCGCUUUUGUUGGGGAAGAAAGGCAGCAGGAGAAGAGCCGGCUGUUCUGACGGUACCCAAAGAAUAAGCACCGGCUAACUUCGUG
rnacentral:rRNA from 1 species